AGCCCAGACUCCUACGGGAGGCAGCAGUGGGGAAUAUUGCACAAUGGGGGAAACCCUGAUGCAGCGACGCCGCGUGAGCGAUGAAGUAUUUCGGUAUGUAAAGCUCUAUCAGCAGGGAAGAAGAUGACGGUACCUGACUAAGAAGCCCCGGCUAACUACGUGCCAGCAGCCGCGGUAAUACGUAGGGGGCAAGCGUUAUCCGGAUUUACUGGGUGUAAAGGGAGCGUAGACGGCGAUGCAAGCCAGAUGUGAAAGCCCGGGGCUCAACCCCGGGACUGCAUUUGGAACUGUGUGGCUGGAGUGUCGGAGAGGCAGGCGGAAUUCCUAGUGUAGCGGUGAAAUGCGUAGAUAUUAGGAGGAACACCAGUGGCGAAGGCGGCUUACUGGACAGUAACUGACGUUGAGGCUCGAAAGCGUGGGGAGCAAACAGGAUUAGAUACCCCAGUAA
rnacentral:rRNA from 1 species